rnacentral:rRNA from 1 species
UGAGUAACCUGCCCUUAACUCUGGGAUAAGCCUGGGAAACUGGGUCUAAUACCGGAUAUGACUCCUCAUCGCAUGGUGGGGGGUGGAAAGCUUUUUGUGGUUUUGGAUGGACUCGCGGCCUAUCAGCUUGUUGGUGAGGUAAUGGCUCACCAAGGCGACGACGGGUAGCCGGCCUGAGAGGGUGACCGGCCACACUGGGACUGAGACACGGCCCAGACCUCCGUACGGGAGCAG